UACAAAUGACUACAGUACUUGGAAAAUGAUUCCUUUAAUUUCCAUCAUCAACACGAAAGUGUUCCGGGUAUAAAAGUGCCAAUAGGUGUGAAAUGCUGUCACCUAUGAGACCAGAUCCUGUUCUGGAUUUUCAUCCACGGUCCGGCUGCAAUUCUUUUCUCCUCUAUACCAUCUUCAUGCCAAACAGCUGACACCUCUCAUGCAUCAAAUGCAGUUUGAUUCAUCAUUAGUCACAACUAUUAUGCAAAAAGUACAAGUUUCCACUAUAAAUUAAACACUAUUACUACAGAAAUAGAACUAAUGUUAAUGUCUGAAUAAUUACAGGAGACGGCGUGAUGUGAAACAAGUCACACCACCGAUGAGAUGCAGAAAUGAAGGCGUUGAAAAAAAUGCUUUAAUGAUGCUGUUUAACGCACUGGACAUGCUGUGUGCUGCAUCAAAUUGCAUGCACUGGCCAAAAUCAUCCUCAAGUACACGUUAUAGUCCUUAGAAGAAUUUAAAAAGAAAUGAAGCCUUUUUACAGUGAUCUUAUUUUGAUACUUUAUUCCACACAAAUCAUACAUGUAGGACAUAAGGUACAGUGUUUGUUGACAAGUGGCUGCAAAUUGUUGGGAAAAACUAAACAUUGUUGAUUGAAGGCAGUGUUAGAAAAAUAAAAGGCAGGUUUUAGUCAAAAACAUGAUAUAAGCCAAAACACUUCACCCCUGUGCGCCUUCUUGACUAAGCUACGGGCCAAGCAUAAGGAGCGGGUGCGAUAAGUGACACGCGGGUAAUAGGCAAACCAUCAGAACUUGACUAUGUACUAUGUACAGUUAGCAUGAUGAAAGCCAUGAAG